GCUGACACCUUGAUCUUGGACUUCUGGCCUUCAGAGAUAGUUUCCCUAUGGAGAGAACCAUGUGGACAAGAAAAUGAUGUCUUUGGAUAACAGCCAGAGAGGAUCUGAGACCUGCCAAGAAUUACAUAAAUGUGUUUGUGGAAGUAGAUAUUCAUCUAGCUCAGCCUCGUAUGAUUGGAGCUCCAGCCAACAACUUCAUGGCACCCUUGCAAAGUAUCUUGAUCCUGAGAAAUCCACUUAAACUUUGCCCCGAUUCCUGACCCACAACUUUGGGAUAAUGAAUGUCUGAUGUUUUCAGCCACUAAGUUUUGGUAAUUUUUUGUGCCCUGGAAGGUAACAAAUAUAUUUGUUAUCAUUGCA